rnacentral:lncRNA from 1 species
CAAGAGACUUACCGAACAGAGGAGUUGUCGGGGAAUCUGAUAACCUCUCAGAAAGCUUUUUGUAGUGGUCUUUACCACUCGAGAAGGUCUUCUUUCGGAAACUUCAACUCCCAGAGGCAGAGCCUGGAGCUGCACGUAGGAGGCUACGGAGAUUAAGUCACCUGAGGAAGAGCUGUAACAUAAUCCGGUUGGUGGUCAUUUUCUAUUUAGUUUUUAAUUUGGGCCUACUUCUAAUAAGUGAUUAUUGCAGAAUUCGAAGAUAAGAAUGAUGUUUGAAUCAAUGAAUAGAAGACUGCCCUCUAGGAAUCCUUAGAGCUGGUGUUAAAUAUCAUACAACAUAAUGUACUUGAGAUGCCUGUACAUGGAAAGGAGCAACUAAAUGUUCCUGGAGGUGAGUGACAUAGUUUCAGAAAUUGAAUAAUUUGUUGUAUCUUGGAAAGGAAAUAGAAGUUCUCCAGAUAUCAAGAAGGAAAAGUAUUUUAAGUAUUGGGAACAGUGAAAGCAAAGGCAUGUCAUAGUUUGGUACAUGACUGAUAAGCUGUGGGUAGGAUGAGAAAGGAGGAGGAAAGACUGACCCUAAAAUUUGGACAACUGUGUUAGCCCCUCAGUCAUGUCUGACUGUCUGUGACCCCAGGGACUGCAGCCUGCCAGGAUCCUCUGCCCUUGGGAUUUUCCAGAAAGGAUACUGGUGGGUUGCCAUUUCCUUUUCCAGGGGAUCUUCCCAGUGCAUGGAUUGAACCUGGGUCUCCUGCAGUGCAGGUAAAUUCUUUAACAUCUGAGUUCUAAUUUGGACAACUGUAGGAAUGUAAUUCUGUUAAUUGGAUCAUUUGGCAAAUAGUAGAAGAAAAUUAGGUUUUGAAAAAAAUUAGUUUGGUUUUGAAUAUAUAGGUUCUGGGGAGUCUGCAGAACAUCUAAGCAGAAACAGAAA